rnacentral:lncRNA from 1 species
CUAUUCUUCCCCUGUUGUCUGCAGUCCCUGUGAACUGUCUGUGGACAUACCAUCCAUAGCAUCUCCCAAGCAGGUGCUUGGUGAUACAAAGAUGCGAUUGUGCCUGUUUUAAAGUCUGGGCCCAUGUGGAGGACAGAUUCAAGGGGAACAGAGGAAGAACAUGAGAUGCAGCCCAACGAGAAAUCUGCCAUGUGGUGUGGGAUCUCCUGUUUUUUCUGCAGUACACACAUGUAUUACAGUAUUACUGCGACCUGAGGAGGUCUUCAGGACAGAUUUACUCCCUGUCAGAAGGCAACCUGAACAUCUGGGAUUGACAACAGGCAAGAUUUGGAUGAAGACCUUCCUUUGCUCCUAUGGGAAAUAUGGUGGCUCAUGGCAUACCUUCCCAUCACAGGGAGGAAACAUGACGUUUUUAAUGUUAUUAUUCCUCUGA